rnacentral:rRNA from 1 species
UCGAGAAUCUUCGGCAAUGGACGCAAGUCCGACCGAGCGACGCCGCGUGCGGGAUGAAGGCCUUCGGGUUGUAAACCGCUGUCAGUGGGGAGGAAAUCCCAAGGAGCUAUCUUCUUGGGUUGACCUAUCUUCAGAGUAAGUGCGGGCUAAGUUCGUGCCAGCAGCCGCGGUAAUACGAACCGCACGAACGUUAUUCGGAAUCACUGGGCUUAAAGGGUGCGUAGGCGGCCAUGCAAGUUGGGUGUGAAAUCCCUCGGCUCAACCGAGGAAUUGCGCUCAAAACUGCACGGCUUGAGGGAGAUAGAGGUGAGCGGAACAUGCGGUGGAGCGGUGAAAUGCGUUGACAUCGCAAGGAACACCAGUUGCGAAAGCGGCUCACUGGGUCUCUUCUGACGCUGAGGCACGAAAGCUAGGGGAGCGAAGAG